UGGACUGGGGGAGAGGGAUAGGGCCUGCAAUUGCAUUGGAGAACAUUCCUCAGUGGCUGUUUCUGAAACAAAGUAUAGAUAUAGAUAUGACUGAGGGUGGGAGAGAAUGGGAUGAGGAUGUGAGAUGUGGUGUGGAGAGAUAUAUAGAUAAUAGUUUUUAUUUGUUUUUAAGGAUUCAGAUGGUUCAAACGAUCCAGUCAGUGGUAGGGUGGGUGUAUAUCCCAGAUUUCAAUGUUUGAGUAUGUAAGCGGUUAACUGAUUGUGUCAGUUUAUGCAGCCAAGUUGAUGGCCAUAAUUAUAGGUUUGAGAUGGGUGGAGGAGGUGAAACCACUCGGAGUGGUGAUCUGCUCUGAUUCGACUGCAGAGUUGAGUAGUGUGAAGACGAGCAGGUUGGAUAGUGGAGACUUGUUUGUGUAAAUGAUGGUGCUGUUAAUGGGAUGGGAGUGGUGAUAAGCUUUUGCUGGGUUCCCGCCAAUGUGGGUGUGGAGGGUAAUUAGAAGGCUGAUGUGAUGAGUAAGAGGGCAGUGAGGAGAGAGGGGGUAGAUAUUCAGUUCCCGUUGGGCCGUAGGGAAGUCAAGUCCUUGAUUCGGGCAAAAGGUCUCGAUCUUUGUCAAAGGAAGUGGGAUGCUAGUAGUAAGGGGAGGCAAUUUUAUUGCAUUCACCAGUCAGUUAAGGAAGAGGUGGGCAGUAUGGGAUGUAGGAGAGAGGAAGUUGUGUGGAGUGGACUGCGGUUUGGACACACCAGGUUUGAAUGCCACAUGUGGAUGAUAAGGAGACAUGAAACAGCUGUUAAACCCCAUCGAAGAAGAUUGGAAAUACUUUUCAACUGACACAUGGGCAAGGCGUUGUGGCAGACCAAAAACUAUACUAAUGACGACAUGGUCCUGAAAGCUCAGGAGACUGCUGAGGGGAGGACAGCUCAUAAUAAUGGCUGCAAUGAAGUGAAUGGAAUGGUAUCAAACACUUUUUCGAUACCUUUCCAUUAAUUCCGUUUCAGCCAUUACUAUUACCAAAUAAGGUGCGACCAACCUCGUGACCCUGAAAGUAUUUCUCCCACCACCAGUUUCCCGAGUGCAGAUACGAAAGACGACCUGAUCCUGAGACUGAUUCUCCCACCACAAGUAACGAGUUGGAAAGAAGAUUGCCCGCCCAAGCUUUGAUGAGGCCUGAAAGUCAUAUUGUACCGUUGCAACCAAUAUGGCUGAAUAUCUUCGCCAGGCGACCAAAAGGACAAGAGGAACCGAACCCUUUGCUCUGAUUCUCGGGGACAAUCACCCCUACUCCAUGGCAUUCACUAUCAUGACUGAGCAGGCUCUGGAGCACAUUAUGUUUAGCUGUUUAACAAGAAUUCAUUUGGAAAAUGGAUUCCUGGUAGGGGUUUGGGGGAGUAAAGGGUAAAGUGUUUACUCUUCUUCACCCCCGUUCCUCAGCUUUAAUUGCUGGGGCUCCUGUGAUUUUUGAAAUGAUGGAUUGUGCUCAAGUUUUUAUUUGUGUGUUCCUUGUUUGUUUAUCUUUUUGCAUGACUUCAUUUUGGAGCUGAAAUGUUGUAACAUUGAUUGUUAUGGUUAGACAGACAUAUUUUGUACAUUUAGAGAAUUAACAGAUUCUGUAAUAGAGAAGUAGAAAAAUAACCCAGCAAUAAAGUAAGAAAUAACCCACUGCUGGGUCAAAAAUACACAAAUAAAAAUAACCCAGCAAAAGAGUAAAAAGCAACUGACUGCUGGGUCAAAGUAAUCGCAUUUUGUGGUAAAUCAAGAAACCCAACGUGUUGGGUCAUUCACGUAACCCAACAGUGCUGGGUUAAAAUAGUUUUUGUGUGUAAGGAAAAGGGAUGACUAUGACAUUGAACCUCUGUAGAUAAGAUACACUGUAGGUGUAUGUUAUUCCCAACCUUAAAAGUUUGGGGGAUAUUAAUGUUUACAUAAGGAAGAUGACCUUGGAUUAAAACCUCUACAGGAU